GAGGGUAUAGCUCAAGCAGUAGAGUGCAUGCUUAGCACGCACGAGGUCCUGGGUUCAAUCCCCAGUACCGCCU
rnacentral:tRNA from 1 species